GUACCGCAGUAUUGCGCUUUAGAACCAUAGGAAGGAUGCGUUUCAAAAAAGUUCCUUUCUGCCUCAAGAGCUAUACGAAUAGACUUCUUCCCUUCGAUGUCCUUUUGACCGCGAUUUAUGACUGGAACAUACCCAAGUCUCAAUGGAAUAACACGUCCAGCUAGAAUAUCUACCACAUCCGUACCUUUAUCCAUUAAAUCAACCUUGGUCAAUACACCGAUAGUGCGAAGACCUUCGGGGUCAACUUCUCUAGCAAGUUUGAG